rnacentral:rRNA from 1 species
GAAUAAGUGCACAUGGUGGAUGCCUUGGCGAUUACAGGCGAUGAAGGACGUAGUAGCUUGCGAUAAGCUGCGGGGAGUGAGCAAACACACUUUGAUCCGCAGAUUUCCGAAUGGGGAAACCCGGCCUUUUAGGUCAUUGCAUACUGAAUACAUAGGUAUGCAAAGCGAACGCGGCGAACUGAAACAUCUAAGUAGCUGCAGGAAAAGAAAUCAACCGAGAUUCCCAAAGUAGUGGCGAGCGAAAUGGGAUGAGCCUUGUACGUGAUAGUCGAUCGAAUAGUGGAACAGCCUGGAAAUGCUGGCCAUAGAGGGUGAUAGCCCCUUACACGAAAUUCGAACGGUGGUACUAAGCGUACGACAAGUAGGGCGGGACACGAGAAAUCCUGUCUGAAGAUGGGGGGACCAUCCUCCAAGGCUAAAUACUCGUAAUCGACCGAUAGUGAACCAGUACCGUGAGGGAAAGGCGAAAAGAACCCCGGGAGGGGAGUGAAAUAGAUCCUGAAACCGUGUGCAUACAAACAGUCGGAGCCUCUUCGUGGGGUGACGGCGUACCUUUUGUAUAAUGGGUCAGCGACUUACAUUCAGUGGCGAGGUUAACCGAAUAGGGGAGCCGUAGAGAAAUCGAGUCCGAACAGGGCGACAGUCGCUGGGUGUAGACCCGAAACCAGGUGAUCUACCCAUGGCCAGGAUGAAGGUGCGGUAACACGCCCUGGAGGUCCGAACCCACUAAUGUUGAAAAAUUAGGGGAUGAGCUGUGGGUAGGGGUGAAAGGCUAAACAAACCUGGAAAUAGCUGGUUCUCUCCGAAAACUAUUUAGGUAGUGCCUCAAGUAUCACCAUCGGGGGUAGAGCACUGUUAUGGCUAGGGGGUCAUUGCGACUUACCAAACCAUUGCAAACUCCGAAUACCGAUGAGUGCGAGCUUGGGAGACAGACGUCGGGUGCUAACGUCCGGCGUCAAGAGGGAAACAACCCAGACCGCCAGCUAAGGUCCCAAAGAUUGGCUAAGUGGAAAACGAAGUGGGAAGGCUAAAACAGUCAGGAUGUUGGCUUAGAANGCGUCAAGAGGGAAACAACCCAGACCGCCAGCUAAGGUCCCAAAGAUUGGCUAAGUGGAAAACGAAGUGGGAAGGCUAAAACAGUCAGGAUGUUGGCUUAGAAGCAGCCAUCAUUUAAAGAAAGCGUAAUAGCUCACUGAUCGAGUCGUCCUGCGCGGAAGAUGUAACGGGGCUAAGCCAGUCACCGAAGCUGCGGAUAUGUUUCUUAGUAUUUAUACUUUGAUCNAGCAGCCAUCAUUUAAAGAAAGCGUAAUAGCUCACUGAUCGAGUCGUCCUGCGCGGAAGAUGUAACGGGGCUAAGCCAGUCACCGAAGCUGCGGAUAUGUGCUUGCACAUAUGGUAGGAGAGCGUUCCGUAAGCCUGAGAAGGUGUCUUGUAAAGGAUGCUGGAGGUAUCGGAAGUGCGAAUGCUGACAUGAGUAGCGAUAAAGAGGGUGAAAAGCCCUCUCGCCGAAAGCCCAAGGUUUCCUGUUCAACGUUCAUCGGAGCAGGGUGAGUCGGCCCCUAAGGCGAGGCAGAGAUGCGUAGCUGAUGGGAAGCAGGUUAAUAUUCCUGCACCGUCGUAUGAUGCGAUGGGGGGACGGAUCGCGGAAGGUUGUCCAGCUGUUGGAAUAGCUGGUUCUUGACUCAUAGAAGGUGCUUAGGCAAAUCCGGGCACGUAAUUCAAGGGGUCGAGACGUGUGUCCUUGUGACACGAAGCAAUCGGAAGUGGUUCCAAGAAAAGCCUCUAAGCUUCAGUCAUACGAGACCGUACCGCAAACCGACACAGGUGGGCGAGAUGAGUAUUCUAAGGCGCUUGAGAGAACUCGGGAGAAGGAACUCGGCAAAUUGGUACCGUAACUUCGGGAUAAGGUACGCCCCGGUAGCUUGAAUGGUUUACUCCAUNACACAGGUGGGCGAGAUGAGUAUUCUAAGGCGCUUGAGAGAACUCGGGAGAAGGAACUCGGCAAAUUGGUACCGUAACUUCGGGAUAAGGUACGCCCCGGUAGCUUGACCACUUUACUGUGGAAGGGUGAAAGGGUUGCAAUAAACUGGUGGCUGCGACUGUUUAAUAAAAACACAGCACUCUGCAAACACGAAAGUGGACGUAUAGGGUGUGACGCCUGCCCGGUGCUGGAAGAUUAAAUGAUGGGGUGCAAGCUCUUGAUUGAAGUCCCAGUAAACGGCGGCCGUAACUAUAACGGUCCUAAGGUAGCGAAAUUCCUUGUCGGGUAAGUUCCGACCUGCACGAAUGGCGUAACGAUGGCCACACUGUCUCCUCCCGAGACUCAGCGAAGUUGAAAUGUUUGUGAUGAUGCAAUCUACCCGCGGCUAGACGGAAAGACCCCAUGAACCUUUACUGUAGCUUUGCAUUGGACUUUGAACCAAUCUGUGUAGGAUAGGUGGGAGGCUUUGAAGCGGGGACGCCAGUUCUCGUGGAGCCAACCUUGAAAUACCACCCUGGUUCGUUUGAGGUUCUAACCUUGGCCCGUGAUCCGGGUCGGGGACAGUGCAUGGUAGGCAGUUUGACUGGGGCGGUCUCCUCCUAAAGUGUAACGGAGGAGUUCGAAGGUACGCUAGGUACGGUCGGACAUCGUGCUAAUAGUGCAAUGGCAUAAGCGUGCUUAACUGCGAGACCGACAAGUCGAGCAGGUACGAAAGUAGGACAUAGUGAUCCGGUGGUUCUGUAUGGAAGGGCCAUCGCUCAACGGAUAAAAGGUACUCUGGGGAUAACAGGCUGAUUCCUCCCAAGAGUUCAUAUCGACGGGGGAGUUUGGCACCUCGAUGUCGGCUCAUCACAUCCUGGGGCUGUAGCCGGUCCCAAGGGUAUGGCUGUUCGCCAUUUAAAGUGGUACGUGAGCUGGGUUUAAAACGUCGUGAGACAGUUUGGUCCCUAUCUGCCGUGGGCGUUGGAAAUUUGAAGGGGGCUGCUCCUAGUACGAGAGGACCGGAGUGGACGAACCUCUGGUGUACCGGUUGUCACGCCAGUGGCAUUGCCGGGUAGCUAAGUUCGGAAGAGAUAACCGCUGAAAGCAUCUAAGCGGGAAACUCGCCUUGAGAUGAGAUUUCCCGGAGCCUUGAGCUCCUUGAAGGGUCGUUCGAGACCAGGACGUUGAUAGGUCAGGUGUGGAAGUGCAGUAAUGCAUUAAGCUAACUGAUACUAAUUGCCCGUACGGCUUGUCCCU